CCUACGGGUGGCUGCAGUGGGGAAUAUUGCGCAAUGGGCGAAAGCCUGACGCAGCGACGCCGCGUGAGGGAUGAAGGUCUUCGGAUCGUAAACCUCUGUCAGCAGGGAAGAACGUCACUGUGCUAAUCAGCAGUGAAUUGACGGUACCUGCCAAGGCAGCACCGGCUAACUCCGUGCCAGCAGCCGCGGUAAUACGGAGGGUGCGAGCGUUAAUAGGAGUUACUGGGCGUAAAGCGCUCGUAGGCGGUAUGUCAAGUCAAGGGUGAAAGCCCGGGGCUCAACGUGGGAACUGCCUUGGAAACUGGCAAACUGGAGUGUGGGAGAGGAGAGUGGAAUUCCAGGUGUAGGAGUGAAAUGCGUAGAUAUCUGGAGGAACAUCAGUGGCGAAGGCGACUAUCUGGCACAUAACUGACGCUGAGGAGCGAAAGCGUGGGUAGCAAACAGGAUUAGAUACCCUUGUAGUC
rnacentral:rRNA from 1 species